CUGACCUCAAGCUAUCUGUCCGCCUCGGCCUCCCAGAGUGCUAGGAUUACAGGCAUGAGCCACCGCGCCUGGCCAGAAGUGUUCUUAAAUCUUUGGCACCUAUUUCCACUGGUCUAUUCUAGAAUCUAGUAUAAGAUGGAAUUCAUUUUAGCACAAUGUCAUGAAUUGUUACAUCGAGUUUCUUGUAUCAGUGUUUUGUAGUAUUCUGAAAAGAGCAUGGGGCUGUCAGAUGUUUGGUCACCUGAAUUCAAGUUUGAGAACCAGACUUCUAGGCCAAGGAAACUGUAUGAAUUCAGUUUCCUUCUCAUGAUUCCCUCUCUCCUUAUCACUUGUGAGGCAGCCCUGGAGAGAGGGAAGCCAGCUGCCAUGUUUUGAGAACACCUCAGGCAGCCGCAUGAGUGAGCUUGGAAGUGGAUCCUUCCCCAGUGGAACCUUGAGAUGCCUGUAAGAGACCCUGAACCAGAACCAUUCAGCUAUGCUGCUCCCAGAUUCCUGAUAUACCAAAACUAUGAGAUAAUAAAUGUGUUAUUAUAUUUUAAGCCACGA